AUCCCUUUAGAUACUAUAUUUUUCUUUGGCGGGCGCGGAGGGGGGGGGGGUGUCAAUGUUUUACAGUGAUAUGUUCUUCGGUUUGUAGGCGUUUAUGUGUUAGGAAGAGGGAGUUGCAUGUCAGUUCAAAUUCUUAGGGAAAUUUACAGUAGAAUUACACUGUAAACCUAUUGUAAAUAACAUUCUAAUUCAACUAUAAUACUAUUGUAUUUAUACUCUAAAUCUAAUGUAAAAUGUCACUAGGAUUCAGCUGUACUUAUAUUGUAUUUACACUGUAAUUCUAGUGUAAACUAAAAUGUAAAUCUACUGUAAUUACUGUCAAACUCACUGCCCAUUUGCUCUAUAAUACUAUUGUAUUUUACACUGUAGUUCUACUAUAAAAUACAUUGUAUUUACACUGCAGUUCCAGUGGUUUAGCACUGGAAUUACAAUUUGCUUACACUGUAAUUCCAGUGGUGUAGCUAUGUAAUUCAAACUGUAAUUACAAAGGAUUUUUCACACUGGUCCACUACUGUAAUUGCAGUUUGUCUGCCAUUGUAAAUUCCUUGUCUGCGAGUGUAAUUUAAUUUGACAGCAGGUUCUUUUUCUGUUCCUCUGUAACUACAAUGUAAAAACACUUGUUAGAUUUUUCUUUUGUGUAGGAUUUACUCGUCUGUAUAUGUUGUAACAUCCAGUGAACUAGUGAAUGCUAGUUCUUAUUGGUUUCUCUGCUGAUCUCUGGAUUUUAAGUUUAUAACUAGAGUACUCUGUGGAUUGUGAUCUGUUCUUUCUCUUUGGUAGACACCCGCUGCUCAAAGUAGAACAAUAUUUUUUGCAUUAACUAAUGAAAAUUUUCGCAGGAUUUCUGUCCCUGUUGUUUUAUAUGUAAUUUUCACAAUGAUAGUACCUUGUACAUCAUUUGCGCCUGAAGUAGAUGAGUAAAAGAGUAUGCCCCCUAUUUUGUCAAGAAUCAAGUUAGAAAAGCAUGAUUGAAUAUGUUUGUUCAUUUUUUCCAGGUUUUUUAAUGCUAUACUAAAGUCAAACAUUAAGGAAAUCAGCUUUGUCAUGUUCGAGAAGAAGAGGGUGUUUAGCUGUGAAUCCUGUGCCUCUUCAGCCAUGAUCUUCUUCAAGCUUGUCUCCCAGAUCGUGGAGGAAACGCCAUCACUUUUUGCUUUUCUGUCCGGGUUGGAAAAGGACGGGGGUUGGACCCGUUAAGUUCCUAUUUGACCUGUGCGGCUUGUUUAAAAGUGGGACAGGAAAAUGGACAUACAGGAUACAAGGGACAGUGAACAGUUGUCACAUUCUAGAUUGCUGAAAAAUCCGGCUGAAACCCAAUUGGUUUUCAGCCGGAUGUCAAUUAGACAGUCCCUAGAUUAAACAUCUCACACAAGUUUACCAAAUUCCACGGAAAUAUAAAGUCAGCAAGCGAUUUCAUGCUA